rnacentral:rRNA from 1 species
UUAAGCGACUAAGCGUACACGGUGGAUGCCCUGGCAGUCAGAGGCGAUGAAGGACGUGCUAAUCUGCGAUAAGCGUCGGUAAGGUGAUAUGAACCGUUAUAACCGGCGAUUUCCGAAUGGGGAAACCCAGUGUGAUUCGUCACACUAUCAUUAACUGAAUCCAUAGGUUAAUGAGGCGAACCGGGGGAACUGAAACAUCUAAGUACCCCGAGGAAAAGAAAUCAACCGAGAUUCCCCCAGUAGCGGCGAGCGAACGGGGAGCAGCCCAGAGCCUGAAUCAGUGUGUGUGUUAGUGGAAGCGUCUGGAAAGGCACGCGAUACAGGGUGACAGCCCCGUACACAAAAAUGCACAUGCUGUGAGCUCGAUGAGUAGGGCGGGACACGUGGUAUCCUGUCUGAAUAUGGGGGGACCAUCCUCCAAGGCUAAAUACUCCUGACUGACCGAUAGUGAACCAGUACCGUGAGGGAAAGGCGAAAAGAACCCCGGCGAGGGGAGUGAAAAAGAACCUGAAACCGUGUACGUACAAGCAGUGGGAGCACGCUUAGGCGUGUGACUGCGUACCUUUUGUAUAAUGGGUCAGCGACUUAUAUUCUGUAGCAAGGUUAACCGAAUAGGGGAGCCGAAGGGAAACCGAGUCUUAACUGGGCGUUAAGUUGCAGGGUAUAGACCCGAAACCCGGUGAUCUAGCCAUGGGCAGGUUGAAGGUUGGGUAACACUAACUGGAGGACCGAACCGACUAAUGUUGAAAAAUUAGCGGAUGACUUGUGGCUGGGGGUGAAAGGCCAAUCAAACCGGGAGAUAGCUGGUUCUCCCCGAAAGCUAUUUAGGUAGCGCCUCGUGAAUUCAUCUCCGGGGGUAGAGCACUGUUUCGGCAAGGGGGUCAUCCCGACUUACCAACCCGAUGCAAACUGCGAAUACCGGAGAAUGUUAUCACGGGAGACACACGGCGGGUGCUAACGUCCGUCGUGAAGAGGGAAACAACCCAGACCGCCAGCUAAGGUCCCAAAGUCAUGGUUAAGUGGGAAACGAUGUGGGAAGGCCCAGACAGCCAGGAUGUUGGCUUAGAAGCAGCCAUCAUUUAAAGAAAGCGUAAUAGCUCACUGGUCGAGUCGGCCUGCGCGGAAGAUGUAACGGGGCUAAACCAUGCACCGAAGCUGCGGCAGCGACGCUUAUGCGUUGUUGGGUAGGGGAGCGUUCUGUAAGCCUGUGAAGGUGUGCUGUGAGGCAUGCUGGAGGUAUCAGAAGUGCGAAUGCUGACAUAAGUAACGAUAAAGCGGGUGAAAAGCCCGCUCGCCGGAAGACCAAGGGUUCCUGUCCAACGUUAAUCGGGGCAGGGUGAGUCGACCCCUAAGGCGAGGCCGAAAGGCGUAGUCGAUGGGAAACAGGUUAAUAUUCCUGUACUUGGUGUUACUGCGAAGGGGGGACGGAGAAGGCUAUGUUGGCCGGGCGACGGUUGUCCCGGUUUAAGCGUGUAGGCUGGUUUUCCAGGCAAAUCCGGAAAAUCAAGGCUGAGGCGUGAUGACGAGGCACUACGGUGCUGAAGCAACAAAUGCCCUGCUUCCAGGAAAAGCCUCUAAGCAUCAGGUAACAUCAAAUCGUACCCCAAACCGACACAGGUGGUCAGGUAGAGAAUACCAAGGCGCUUGAGAGAACUCGGGUGAAGGAACUAGGCAAAAUGGUGCCGUAACUUCGGGAGAAGGCACGCUGAUAUGUAGGUGAAGCGACUUGCUCGUGGAGCUGAAAUCAGUCGAAGAUACCAGCUGGCUGCAACUGUUUAUUAAAAACACAGCACUGUGCAAACACGAAAGUGGACGUAUACGGUGUGACGCCUGCCCGGUGCCGGAAGGUUAAUUGAUGGGGUUAGCGCAAGCGAAGCUCUUGAUCGAAGCCCCGGUAAACGGCGGCCGUAACUAUAACGGUCCUAAGGUAGCGAAAUUCCUUGUCGGGUAAGUUCCGACCUGCACGAAUGGCGUAAUGAUGGCCAGGCUGUCUCCACCCGAGACUCAGUGAAAUUGAACUCGCUGUGAAGAUGCAGUGUACCCGCGGCAAGACGGAAAGACCCCGUGAACCUUUACUAUAGCUUGACACUGAACAUUGAGCCUUGAUGUGUAGGAUAGGUGGGAGGCUUAGAAGUGUGGACGCCAGUCUGCAUGGAGCCGACCUUGAAAUACCACCCUUUAAUGUUUGAUGUUCUAACGUUGACCCGUAAUCCGGGUUGCGGACAGUGUCUGGUGGGUAGUUUGACUGGGGCGGUCUCCUCCUAAAGAGUAACGGAGGAGCACGAAGGUUGGCUAAUCCUGGUCGGACAUCAGGAGGUUAGUGCAAUGGCAUAAGCCAGCUUGACUGCGAGCGUGACGGCGCGAGCAGGUGCGAAAGCAGGUCAUAGUGAUCCGGUGGUUCUGAAUGGAAGGGCCAUCGCUCAACGGAUAAAAGGUACUCCGGGGAUAACAGGCUGAUACCGCCCAAGAGUUCAUAUCGACGGCGGUGUUUGGCAC